AUGGGGUGCAGCAGGGGAGAAAACUUUGCAAUGUGUGAAAGCACGGCAAGGUUAAUCCGAGUGUUUCCUGCUAAAGGAAUCUUUUGUCAGUCAUAACACCACCGACGAGUAAGGGGUGGGCAAGUUCUGGUGUCAGCCGCCGCGGUAAAACCAGCACCUCAAGUGGUCAGGAGGAUUAUUGGGCCUAAAGCAUCCGUAGCCGGCUUUGUAAGUUUUCGGUUAAAUCCAUAUGCUCAACAUAUGGGCUGCCGGGAAUACUGCACAGCUAGGGAGUGGGAGAGGUAGACGGUACUCCAUAGGAAGGGGUAAAAUCCUUUGAUCUAUGGAAGACCACCUGUGGCGAAGGCGGUCUACCAGAACACGUUCGACGGUGAGGGAUGAAAGCUGGGGGAGCAAACUGGAUUAGAUACCCGGGUAGCCCCAGCUGUAAACUAUGCAAACUCGGUGAUGCAUUGGCUUGUGGCCAGUGCAGUGCCGCAGGGAAGCCGUUAAGUUUGCCGCCUGGGAAGUACGUACGCAAGUAUGAAACUUAAAGGAAUUGGCGGGGGAGCAC
rnacentral:rRNA from 1 species